CUAACAAUUGUUCGCCAAACAACUACGAGUAGCACUUAAAACUUAAAAGACUUGACGGUGCUUCACCACGACCUAGAGGAGCCUGUCCAAUAACCGACAAUCCACGAUUAAUCCAACCCCUUCUAGCCCAACAGUCUAUAUACCGCCGUCGCCAGCUUACCUUGUAAAAGAAAUAAAGUGAGCUUAACAGUACCACACUAAAACGACAGGUCGAGGUGUAACUUAUGAAGGGGCUAAGAUGGGCUACAUUCUCCAACUAAGAAUACGAACAACACUAUGAAACUAGUGUUUAAAGGCGGAUUUAGCAGUAAGAUAAGAAUAAAACACUUAACUGAACAUGAC
rnacentral:rRNA from 1 species